rnacentral:tRNA from 1 species
GCUUUCAUAGCUCAGUUGGUGGAGCAUCGCACUGGUAUUGCUGGGGUCAUGGGCUUGACUCGACCCAUGGAAGCC